GAUGAACGCUGGCUACAGGCUUAACACAUGCAAGUCGAGGGGAAACGCCGGGGAAGCUUGCUUCCCCGGGCGUCGACCGGCGCACGGGUGAGUAACGCGUAUCCAACCUGCCUCUGACUGAGGGAUAACCCGUCGAAAGUCGGCCUAAUACCUCAUGGUAUCGUCUGCGGGCAUCCAACGACGAUUAAAGAUUUCAUCGGUCAGGGAUGGGGAUGCGUCUGAUUAGCUUGUUGGCGGGGUAACGGCCCACCAAGGCUACGAUCAGUAGGGGUUCUGAGAGGAAGGUCCCCCAAAUUGGAACUGAGACACGGUCCAAACUCCUACGGGAGGCAGCAGUGAGGAAUAUUGGUCAAUGGGCGAGAGCCUGAACCAGCCAAGUAGCGUGCAGGAAGACGGCCCUAUGGGUUGUAAACUGCUUUUAUGCGGGGAUAAAGUGAGGGACGUGUCCCUCAUUGCAGGUACCGCAUGAAUAAGGACCGGCUAAUUCCGUG
rnacentral:rRNA from 1 species